rnacentral:lncRNA from 1 species
CUAGGACAUCAGCCUACCCACAGUUCUGGGCUGCGUCUGUUACUGCCUUGCUUACCCUGCCCCCCACCCAUAACUUCAGAGAAAGGAAAACGGACUGAGCCUCAGCACCCACACACCAUGGCUGCCUUGAAUCCAGAAACAAGGAUGUCACAGCAGUGAAACAGAAAGAUCAACAGCUACGGAGUAAGAGGUAUUUGAUAGUGUCAUCAAGAAAUCAGAAAGCUUUUUAGAAAAAAAAUGUGUAUCGUGGAGGAGCAGACUAAAACUAUAAUCUAAUAUACUUUAUUUGCAAAAGCAAAUGAAGGAAAGUGAUGUAGAUGAAUAUAAGUUCAAUGUUAUGAAAAUAUAUGAUAAUAUAAUUGAUGACACAUCUAACUCUGAAUUUUUCUGUGUUCUUGUGAAAGGUAUUUUUUUCAUAGAUAUUUUACUGUCUCGAAAAAUAAAAAAAAUAGAUAUUUAA